rnacentral:pre_miRNA from 1 species
AAUGUACUCCCUCCGUUCAAAAAAGCUUGUCCCAAGCUUGUUCCUCAAAUGAAUGUAUCUAGCACUAACUUGGUGUUACAUACAUUUAUUUGAGGGACAAGUUUUUUUGGAGGGAGGGAGUAACUA